GAUGAACGCUGGCGGCGUGCCUAAUACAUGCAAGUCGAGCGAACGGACGAGAAGCUUGCUUCUCUGAUGUUAGCGGCGGACGGGUGAGUAACACGUGGAUAACCUACCUAUAAGACUGGGAUAACUUCGGGAAACCGUAGCUAAUACCGGAUAAUCUUUUGAACCGCAUGGUUCAAAAGUGAAAGACGGUCUUGCUGUCACUUAUAGAUGGAUCCGCGCUGCAUUAGCUAGUUGGUAAGGUAACGGCUUACCAAGGCAACGAUGCAUAGCCGACCUGCGAGGGUGAUCGGCCACACUGGAACGUGGACACGGUCCAGACGCCUACGGGAGGCAGCAGUAGGGAAUCUUCCGCAAUGGGCGAAAGCCUGACGGAGCAACGCCACGUGAGUUAUGAAGGUCUUCGGAUCGUAAUACUCUGUUACGAGUGGAGAACAGAUGUGUAAGUAACUGUGCACAUCGUGACGGUACCUAGUCAGAAAGCCACGGCUAACUACGUG
rnacentral:rRNA from 1 species